UCGAACGCAAAAGAUGGGGCAACUCCUCGAGUAUAUUGGCGAACGGGUGAUUAACGCGUGAAUAACCUGCCUUCCAUAGGGGGAUAACACUCCCAUCGGGGUGCUAAUACCGCACGAGACCACGGGGAUCACAUGGCCCUGUAUGUCAAAGGUGGCCUCUACUUGUAAGCUACCGCUUGAAGAUGGCUUCGCGUCCCAUUACCUACUUGGCGGUGUAACGGACCACCACGGCCACGAUUGGUACCUGGUCUGAGACGAUGGUCAUCCACACUGGGACUGAGAUACGGCCCAGACUCCUACGGGAGGCAGCAGUCGAGAGGCUUUGGCAAUGGGGGAAACCCUGACCAAGCGACGCCGCGUGGAGGAUGAAGGCCCUUGGGUUGUAAACUCCUUUUGUCGGGGAAGAAGUGCGAUCAGGUGAACAAUCUGGUCGUUUGACGGUACCCGACGAAUAAGCUCCGGCUAACUCCGUGCCAGCAGCCGCGGUAACACGGGGGGAGCAAGCGUUGUUCGGAAUCACUGGGCGUAAAGGGCGUGUAGGCGGAUAGGUAAGUGGAACGUGAAAUCCCUCGGCUCACCCGAGGACCUGCGUCCCAAACUGCCUGUCUUGAGUACGGGAGAGGAAGAGGGAAUUCCUGGUGUAGCGGUGAAAUGCGUAGAUAUCAGGAGGAACACCGGUGGCGAAGGCGCUCAUCUGGCCCGAUCCUGACGCUGAGGCGCGAAAGCUAGGGGAGCAAACGGGAUUAGAUACCCCGGUAGUCCUAGCCGUAAACGGUGAUCACUAGGUGUCGGAGGCAUCGACCCCUCCAGUGCCGCAGCUAACGCAUUAAGUGAUCCGCCUGGGGAGUACGGCCCGCAGGGUGAA
rnacentral:rRNA from 1 species